rnacentral:tRNA from 1 species
GCCCAUAUAGAUCAACGGAUAGAACGGAAGUUUCCUAAACUUUAAAUCAAGGUUCGAUUCCUUGUGGGGGUA